rnacentral:rRNA from 1 species
GGUUAAGCGACUAAGCGUACACGGUGGAUGCCCUGGCAGUCAGAGGCGAUGAAGGGCGUGCUAAUCUGCGAUAAGCGCCGGUAAGGUGAUAUGAACCGUUAUAACCGGCGAUACCCGAAUGGGGAAACCCAGUGUGACUCGUCACACUAUCAUUAACUGAAUCCAUAGGUUAAUGAGGCGAACCGGGGGAACUGAAACAUCUAAGUACCCCGAGGAAAAGAAAUCAACCGAGAUUCCCCCAGUAGCGGCGAGCGAACGGGGAGGAGCCCAGAGCCUGAAUCAGCAUGUGUGUUAGUGGAAGCGUCUGGAAAGGCGCGCGAUACAGGGUGACAGCCCCGUACACAAAAGCGCACAUGCUGUGAGCUCGAUGAGUAGGGCGGGACACGUGGUAUCCUGUCUGAAUAUGGGGGGACCAUCCUCCAAGGCUAAAUACUCCUGACUGACCGAUAGUGAACCAGUACCGUGAGGGAAAGGCGAAAAGAACCCCGGCGAGGGGAGUGAAAAAGAACCUGAAACCGUGUACGUACAAGCAGUGGGAGCACCCUUUGGGGUGUGACUGCGUACCUUUUGUAUAAUGGGUCAGCGAC